rfam:Alloactinosynnema sp. L-07 genome assembly, chromosome: I
CCGGCUCCGGUUCACCCCACGACAGCAGGGGACCCGGCGGCC